AUUGAACGCUGGCGGCAGGCCUAACACAUGCAAGUCGAACGAGUGGCGGACGGGUUAGCAAUGCCUGUGAAAAUGCCUGAUGGCGGGGGUACACUACUGGAAACGGUAGCUAAUACCGCAUACCAUCAGCUGUGCCCAGAUGGGAUUAGCUUGUUGGUGGGGUAAAGGCUCACCACGGCGACGAUCCCUAGCUGGUCUGAGAGGAUGACCAGCCACACGGGAACUGAGACACGGUCCAGACUCCUAAGGGAGGCAGCAGUGGGGAAUAUUGCACAAUGGGCGAAAGCCUGAUGCAGCCAUGCCGCGUGUGUGAAGAAGGUCUUCGGAUUGUAAAGUACUUUCAGCGGGGAGGCGUUACCAGCAGAAGAAGCACCGGCUAACUCCGUGCCAGCAGCCGCGGUAAUAC
rnacentral:rRNA from 1 species